rnacentral:rRNA from 1 species
UCCUUGAAAUACCACCCUUUAAUGGCUGGUGUUCUAACGUAGACCCGUGAUCCGGGUUGCGGACAGUGUCUGGUGGGUAGUUUGACUGGGGCGGUCUCCUCCCAAAGAGUAACGGAGGAGCACGAAGGUUGGCUAAUCCUGGUCGGACAUCAGGAGGUUAGUGCAAUGGCAUAAGCCAGCUUGACUGCGAGCGUGACGGCGCGAGCAGGUGCGAAAGCAGGUCAUAGUGAUCCGGUGGUUCUGAAUGGAAGGGCCAUCGCUCAACGGAUAAAAGGUACUCCGGGGAUAACAGGCUGAUACCGCCCAAGAGUUCAUAUCGACGGCGGUGUUUGGCACCUCGAUGUCGGCUCAUCACAUCCUGGGGCUGAAGUAGGUCCCAAGGGUAUGGCUGUUCGCCAUUUAAAGUGGUACGCGAGCUGGGUUUAGAACGUCGUGAGACAGUUCGGUCCCUAUCUGCCGUGGGCGCUGGAGAAUUGAGGGGGGCUGCUCCUAGUACGAGAGGACCGGAGUGGACGCAUCACUGGUGUUCGGGUUGUCAUGCCAAUGGCACUGCCCGGUAGCUAAAUGCGGAAGAGAUAAGUGCUGAAAGCAUCUAAGCACGAAACUUGCCCCGAGAUGAGUUCUCCCUGAGACUUUAAGUCUCCUGAAGGAACGUUGAAGACGACGACGUUGAUAGGUCGGGUGUGUAAGCGCAGCGAUGCGUUGAGCUAACCGAUACUAAUGAACCGUGAGGCUUAACCUU